GGGCUCGCACAAGCAGUGGAGUAUGUGGUUUAAUUCGAUGCAACGCGAAGAACCUUACCUAGACUUGACAUGCAGUGGACAGCCGCAGAGAUGUGGCCUUCUUCGGACCGCUGUGCAGGUGCUGCAUGGCUGUCGUCAGCUCGUGCCGUGAGGUGUUGGUUAAGUCCCGCAACGAGCGCAACCCUUAUCAUUAGUUACCAGCAUUUAAGGUGGGGACUCUAGUGAGACUGCCUGGGUUAACCAGGAGGAAGGUGAGGAUGACGUCAAGUCAGCAUGGCCCUUAUGUCUAGGGCUACACACGUACUACAAUGGCCGGUACAGAAGGAUGCGAAGCCGCGAGGUAGUGCU
rnacentral:rRNA from 1 species